UCGAAGAGUGUUAUUCACGCGUUAUACGA
rnacentral:sRNA from 1 species